rnacentral:rRNA from 1 species
AGCCAGACUCCUACGGGAGGCAGCAGUGGGGAAUAUUGCACAAUGGGGGAAACCCUGAUGCAGCGACGCCGCGUGAGCGAUGAAGUAUUUCGGUAUGUAAAGCUCUAUCAGCAGGGAAGAAGAUGACGGUACCUGACUAAGAAGCCCCGGCUAACUACGUGCCAGCAGCCGCGGUAAUACGUAGGGGGCAAGCGUUAUCCGGAUUUACUGGGUGUAAAGGGAGCGUAGACGGCGAUGCAAGCCAGAUGUGAAAGCCCGGGGCUCAACCCCGGGACUGCAUUUGGAACUGUGUGGCUGGAGUGUCGGAGAGGCAGGCGGAAUUCCUAGUGUAGCGGUGAAAUGCGUAGAUAUUAGGAGGAACACCGGUGGCGAAGGCGGCCUGCUGGACUGCAACUGACGUUGAGGCCCGAAAGCGUGGGGAGCAAACAGGAUUAGAUACCCGGGUACG